rnacentral:rRNA from 1 species
AGCAGUCGCCGCGGUAAGACGAACCGUGCGAACGUUAAUCGGAAUUACUGGGCGUAAAGCGUGCGCAGGCGGUUAGAUAAGCCAGAUGUGAAAUCCCCGAGCUCAACUUGGGAACUGCGUUUGGAACUGUUUAACUAGAGUGCGUCAGAGGGGGGUGGAAUUCCGCGUGUAGCAGUGAAAUGCGUAGAGAUGCGGAGGAACACCGUUGGCGAAGGCAGCCCCCUGGGAUGACACUGACGCUCAUGCACGAAAGCGUGGGGAGCAAACAGGAUUAGAUACCCGCGUAGUCCCUGUCUCUUAUAC